ensembl:lncRNA
GUGUGGACAGGGUUGGGUGGGGAGAGAUGCAGGGGUGAGGAGACGGGGAAGAAAGCGGCCGGGAAAUGUGUGAGUCGGAGGGAGAUGAGAAGGGAGGAGGGCCCUGACCUUCCUUCCUCUGGCCGCUUCUCCAGGCAGCAAAGAGUCACCUCCACUACCAGCUUGCCAGACUCAGUGCUGGGCAGCGAGGCAGCACGGUGACUCAGACCCAGGCCCGCCCACCAGCUCUCACAGGGCCCGUGACAGAGGAGAAAGACAAACAUGAGUGCCUGGGGGCUGAAGUAACAGCCUCAACAGAAGUCACUACAAGGGGCAGUGGCUCUAUGCUGGGGGCACUUUCUCCUGCCUGGGACAGUGGGCAGGGGUGCGGGAGGAGGAGAAGGGAGAGUCUCAGGAAGGUGGUUCCCAAGUGAAUCUUGAAGGAUGGGUAGACAUGCAUCAUUCCUCAACCUCUCUCGGCUUCAGGCGCCUCAUCGGAACAUUGGGUGUAAUUCAUGGUACUUUCUCCCCAGGCUUCUUGUGAGGACCAAAUGAACGCAUCUAUGGAGAGCUCUUAGCGCAGGGCCUGGCUAACGGUAAGCGCUCAAGUGCUGGCUGCUGACGCUAUGGUCAGGAAGGUAUUUCAGCAGAAAUAGGAGGGAGAGCAUUUCGGGCAGAGCCAACUGCAUGUACAUGGGGGCGGAAACAGCCCUACGCAGUCUGGCAGGUCCCGGGGAGUAGUGUGGAGUCACAGCGUGUGCCUCUGUGUGCUAGGCAGGAGCUGGCAUGUGGAGGAGUGGGGCUGGCCAUGGCAGCAAUCACUAGUUCAGCCAGGGAAGAGUGGGGUCCAAUGAGGUGGCCCUGGGGAGGGAAAAAUCCCCUGAGACUGGACCGCCAGGGCCCGAUCUCAACUUCCAGGGGUUGAGUCAGGGACUCAAGGCUUUAUGGGGCUUGGGUACUCUUUCUGUGAGGCUAGUGUGAGAAAGGAGAGACCUUAUGGGGUUGCAGUGGAAGAGUCUAGAGGUGCGUGUGUGUGAGAGAGAGAGAGAGAGAGAGAGAGAGAAAACUGUAGGGUUGGGGGCAUAUGAAAGGAGCAGACUCCCCUGGGCAGCUAGAAUUUGUGCCCAUUCUGGGGAGGGAACAAGAAGCUCUCCAGUACCAGGAGGUGCUGGGGCCUCUGCAGGAGGGGCCAGGAGGCCGCAACCACACAGCUGCUCCAGCUCAGCCCAGCUCCUCGCUGGCCUGCCUCAGCACCACACCUGGACUGUUUCAUCUCUGGUCAGAGCGUGGCUGGGUGUGGAUGGGAGCAUGUGUGUAUGUGUGUGUGUGUAUGUGUGUGUACACGUGACAUUUCUAGAUCAAAGAAUGCUCACAAGUUCCUGCUAGAGGUCAGGUCAUCAAGGAGUGAGGGCCUGGCCCAUCUCCUCAUGUCCUGGCACCCCGACAGCUCCUCCUACCCAAAUCCGCUGGGCCUUGGGGGCAGUGGGAGCUGACAGGUCUCUGACUCAGGCUGGGCAAGGAGGAGGGGCUGGAAGUGCCUGGGCCAAGGAGGGGCCUGGUUAGUCAUCUGCUGAGUGGCAGGUCCCACACUUAGCCCCGGGCAGGGGCAGUAUGGCUGGGGCUUUCCUGCCACCGAAACAACAGCCAGGGCUAGGGCCAGGGGUCAGGACUCAGGAUAGGACACACUCUUGGGGCCCCUGAGCAGCAGGUGGACGUCCUGGAGAUGUGGUCUUGGUGGGAGCUGAGCUGUGGCCCAGGAGCCCCUCCCUGGGCUGUGGGAGGGGAUGUGCAGAAGGAGGAGAGAAUGACACAUAUUUGGAACCCAGGCACGAACCAGGGAGGCUGGAAGUCCUCUCAAGGCUGGCGCGUAGCCUUUCCUGCACCACCACCAUCUCCUCCUCCCCAACAACACCCUCUCAAUCAAGUGCAUUUGCUCCUGCUCUACCACAGGCCUCUGCGCAGGCUGCUUUCCUUCCGGGACAGCUAAAGGGAAUCCCAAGGUGGUCCCUCCGGCACCACGGUUCUCCGAGUCCAGUUAAGUAACCUUCGCCCCCCAGUUCAACCCUAAACUCAUCAACUCUCCAAGGAGAAGAAUAGGAGUUACUCUACGAAGCAUUUGUAAGGAAGCCCUGGUGGGGCAGAGAGGCGUGUGGACUUGAGAAGCAGACCCACGUGGAUUCCACCACAGCCUGGUCUCAUCCUAGCUGUGUGCGAUCUCAGCCAUUGUAUCUGUCACCAGCUACCGUGUAACAAGCCACCACAAAACUCAGCGAGUUAAAACAACAACUGUUUAUUUGCUUAUGCUUCUAAAAUUUGCGCAGGGCUUGAUGGGACGGCUCCUUUAUUCUCCACCUGGUGUUAUGUUUUCUAAGUGAAGUCCAUGGGACAAUGGCACAGAGGAGAUAUGCACAGUACGCAUGCCCACCCUCUUCCUUGCGUCCCUGUCCCUAUAUAGAGUUCCUUUCUCUUUUGGUCCUUCCUCACCCAUCAGCCAGCCCGAGGUAGAAAACUUUGGGAGAAUCCAUGCAUAUCAAAAAGAGAAGCUCUUCCAGUAAGUGGCCUGAGGUGAUUUCUAGAAACGGUUCCCUAUUCAGUUGACCCAGAAGACCCCACAAAGUCAUGCAAAUCAAGAGGUCCAAAUCUUCGUGUUCUCUUUAAGAACACCCGUGAAACGACCCUGGUCAUCAAGGACAUGCAUACCCGAAAGCCUCCGGGUAUCUGCAGGGUGUCACUUUACAGAGGCAGCGUGUGCUGUCCCGUUGCUACAACGGCAGAGUUGGUAGGGCUGCCCUGGGCAAACUGUGCGGCUGGACAUGGGGUCAGGGUCCCGAAGGAGUGCUGAAUGUUUGCUGCACGGGAUUAAAAACGAAGAGGGCAAAGCAGAACUUAGCGGUUCAGAUGUCGAUUCUCUGGUCAUUGAGCACAUAUAGGCAAGAGUGUGCCUGUCCUAACACAGGUCCUGGCUGGCAGACCUUAGCGGUUCAGAUGUUGAUUCUCUGGUCAUUGAGCACAUAUAGGCAAGAGUGUGCCUGUCCUAACACAGGUCCUGGCUGGCUUCACCCCUGCGAGAGCACGCCUGCCACUGAGAUGCUCCUCAUUAAAGGGCAGUAGAUUGUUCCUAGACCAGAGAGAAGGCUGCACAGAAGAAAAAGUUAUCCCAGAAGAAAUACAGACUUAUGGCCAGGAAUAAGUUCAGCAUAAAAUAAAUGCAAAUAAAAGUAAA